AAUAGAUACCCAGGUAGUCCACGCCGUAAACGAUGAGUGCUAAGUGUUAGAGGGUUUCCGCCCUUUAGUGCUGAAGUUAACGCAUUAAGCACUCCGCCUGGGGAGUACGGCCGCAAGGCUGAAACUCAAAGGAAUUGACGGGGGCCCGCACAAGCGGUGGAGCAUGUGGUUUAAUUCGAAGCAACGCGAAGAACCUUACCAGGUCUUGACAUCCUCUGACAACCCUAGAGAUAGGACUUCUCCUUCGGGAGCAGAGUGACAGGUGGUGCAUGGUUGUCGUCAGCUCGUGUCGUGAGAUGUUGGGUUAAGUCCCGCAACGAGCGCAACCCUUGAUCUUAGUUGCCAUCAUUUAGUUGGGCACUCUAAGGUGACUGCCGGUGACAAACCGGAGGAAGGUGGGGAUGACGUCAAAUCAUCAUGCCCCUUAUGACCUGGGCUACACACGUGCUACAAUGGACGGUACAAAGAGCUGCAAGACCGCGAGGUGGAGCUAAUCUCAUAAAACCGUUCUCAGUUCGGA
rnacentral:rRNA from 1 species